rnacentral:rRNA from 1 species
AGAGUUUGAUCCUGGCUCAGGAUGAACGCGGGCGGUGUGCCUAAUACAUGCAAGUCGAGCGCACUGGCCCAACUGAUAUGACGUGCUUGCACUGAAUUGACGUUGGAUUACCAGUGAGCGGCGGACGGGUGAGUAACACGUGGGCAACCUGCCCUGGAGUGGGGGAUAACAUCUGGAAACAGGUGCUAAUACCGCAUAACAACGAAAACCACAUGGUUUUCGUUUCAAAGAUGGUUUCGGCUAUCACUUCAGGAUGGGCCCGCGGUGCAUUAGCUAGUUGGUAAGGUAACGGCUUACCAAGGCAAUGAUGCAUAGCCGAGUUGAGAGACUGAUCGGCCACAAUGGAACUGAGACACGGUCCAUACUCCUACGGGAGGCAGCAGUAGGGAAUCUUCCACAAUGGGCGCAAGCCUGAUGGAGCAACACCGCGUGAGUGAAGAAGGGUUUCGGCUCGUAAAGCUCUGUUGUUGGAGAAGAACGUGCGUGAGAGUAACUGUUCACGCAGUGACGGUAUCCAACCAGAAAGUCACGGCUAACUACGUGCCAGCAGCCGCGGUAAUACGUAGGUGGCAAGCGUUAUCCGGAUUUAUUGGGCGUAAAGCGAGCGCAGGCGGUUGCUUAGGUCUGAUGUGAAAGCCUUCGGCUUAACCGAAGAAGGGCAUCGGAAACCGGGCGACUUGAGUGCAGAAGAGGACAGUGGAACUCCAUGUGUAGCGGUGGAAUGCGUAGAUAUAUGGAAGAACACCAGUGGCGAAGGCGGCUGUCUGGUCUGCAACUGACGCUGAGGCUCGAAAGCAUGGGUAGCGAACAGGAUUAGAUACCCUGGUAGUCCAUGCCGUAAACGAUGAGUGCUAGGUGUUGGAGGGUUUCCGCCCUUCAGUGCCGGAGCUAACGCAUUAAGCACUCCGCCUGGGGAGUACGACCGCAAGGUUGAAACUCAAAUGAAUUGACGG